AACGAACGCUGGCGGCAUGCCUAACACAUGCAAGUCGAACGGAGGCUUCGGCCUUAGUGGCGCACGGGUGCGUAACGCGUGGGAAUCUGCCCUUUGGUUCGGAAUAACAGCUGGAAACGGCUGCUAAUACCGGAUGAUGACGAAAGUCCAAAGAUUUAUCGCCAGAGGAUGAGCCCGCGUUGGAUUAGGUAGUUGGUGGGGUAAAGGCCUACCAAGCCGACGAUCCAUAGCUGGUCUGAGAGGAUGAUCAGCCACACUGGGACUGAGACACGGCCCAGACUCCUACGGGAGGCAGCAGUGGGGAAUAUUGGACAAUGGGCGAAAGCCUGAUCCAGCAAUGCCGCGUGAGUGAUGAAGGCCCUAGGGUUGUAAAGCUCUUUUACCCGGGAAGAUAAUGACUGUACCGGGAGAAUAAGCCCCGGCUAACUCCGUGCCAGCCGCCGCAGUAAUAC
rnacentral:rRNA from 1 species